UACAGAGGUCUCAAGCGUUGUUCGGAUUCAUUGGGCGUAAAGGGUGCGUAGGUGGCGAGGUAAGUCAGGUGUGAAAUCGCCCGGCUCAACUGGGCGGGGUCAGCGGAUACGGUCGAGCUUGAGCAAGCUAGGGGGUAAUGGAAUUCCCGGUGUAGUGGUGGAAUGCGUAGAUAUCGGGAGGAACACCAGUGGCGAAGGCGGUUACCUGGGGCUUUGCUGACGCUGAUGCGCGAAAGCGUGGGGAGCGAUCCGG
rnacentral:rRNA from 1 species